GGGUUGUGAGGUUAAGCGACUAAGCGUACACGGUGGAUGCCCUGGCAGUCAGAGGCGAUGAAGGACGUGCUAAUCUGCGAAAAGCGUCGGUAAGGUGAUAUGAACCGUUAUAACCGGCGAUGUCCGAAUGGGGAAACCCAGUGUGAUUCGUCACACUAUCGUUAACUGAAUACAUAGGUUAACGAGGCGAACCGGGGGAACUGAAACAUCUAAGUACCCCGAGGAAAAGAAAUCAACCGAGAUUCCCCCAGUAGCGGCGAGCGAACGGGGAGCAGCCCAGAGUCUGAAUCAGCUUGUGUGUUAGUGGAACGGUCUGGAAAGUCCGACGGUACAGGGUGAUAGUCCCGUACACCAAAAUGCACAGGUUGUGAACUCGAAGAGUAGGGCGGGACACGUGGUAUCCUGUCUGAAUAUGGGGGGACCAUCCUCCAAGGCUAAAUACUCCUGACUGACCGAUAGUGAACCAGUACCGUGAGGGAAAGGCGAAAAGAACCCCGGCGAGGGGAGUGAAAAAGAACCUGAAACCGUGUACGUACAAGCAGUGGGAGCACCUUCGGGUGUGACUGCGUACCUUUUGUAUAAUGGGUCAGCGACUUAUAUUCUGUAGCAAGGUUAACCGUAUAGGGGAGCCGCAGGGAAACCGAGUCUUAACUGGGCGUUAAGUUGCAGGGUAUAGACCCGAAACCCGGUGAUCUAGCCAUGGGCAGGUUGAAGGUUGGGUAACACUAACUGGAGGACCGAACCGACUAAUGUUGAAAAAUUAGCGGAUGACUUGUGGCUGGGGGUGAAAGGCCAAUCAAACCGGGAGAUAGCUGGUUCUCCCCGAAAGCUAUUUAGGUAGCGCCUCGUGAACUCAUCUUCGGGGGUAGAGCACUGUUUCGGCUAGGGGGUCAUCCCGACUUACCAACCCGAUGCAAACUACGAAUACCGAAGAAUGUUAUCACGGGAGACACACGGCGGGUGCUAACGUCCGUCGUGAAGAGGGAAACAACCCAGACCGCCAGCUAAGGUCCCAAAGUCAUGGUUAAGUGGGAAACGAUGUGGGAAGGCACAGACAGCCAGGAUGUUGGCUUAGAAGCAGCCAUCAUUUAAAGAAAGCGUAAUAGCUCACUGGUCGAGUCGGCCUGCGCGGAAGAUGUAACGGGGCUAAACCAUGCACCGAAGCUGCGGCAGCGACACUAUGUGUUGUUGGGUAGGGGAGCGUUCUGUAAGCCUGCGAAGGUGACCUGUGAGGGUUGCUGGAGGUAUCAGAAGUGCGAAUGCUGACAUAAGUAACGAUAAAGCGGGUGAAAAGCCCGCUCGCCGGAAGACCAAGGGUUCCUGUCCAACGUUAAUCGGGGCAGGGUGAGUCGACCCCUAAGGCGAGGCCGAAAGGCGUAGUCGAUGGGAAACAGGUUAAUAUUCCUGUACUUGGUGUUACUGCGAAGGGGGGACGGAGAAGGCUAUGUUAGCCGGGCGACGGUUGUCCCGGUUUAAGCAUGUAGGCUGGUUAUCCAGGCAAAUCCGGAUAAUCAAGGCUGAGGUGUGAUGACGAGGUACUACGGUGCUGAAGUAACAAAUGCCCUGCUUCCAGGAAAAGCCUCUAAGCAUCAGGUAACAUCAAAUCGUACCCCAAACCGACACAGGUGGUCAGGUAGAGAAUACCAAGGCGCUUGAGAGAACUCGGGUGAAGGAACUAGGCAAAAUGGUGCCGUAACUUCGGGAGAAGGCACGCUGGUGUGUAGGUGAAGUCCCUGCGGAUGGAGCUGAGACCAGUCGAAGAUACCAGCUGGCUGCAACUGUUUAUUAAAAACACAGCACUGUGCAAACACGAAAGUGGACGUAUACGGUGUGACGCCUGCCCGGUGCCGGAAGGUUAAUUGAUGGGGUUAUCCGUAAGGAGAAGCUCUUGAUCGAAGCCCCGGUAAACGGCGGCCGUAACUAUAACGGUCCUAAGGUAGCGAAAUUCCUUGUCGGGUAAGUUCCGACCUGCACGAAUGGCGUAAUGAUGGCCAGGCUGUCUCCACCCGAGACUCAGUGAAAUUGAACUCGCUGUGAAGAUGCAGUGUACCCGCGGCAAGACGGAAAGACCCCGUGAACCUUUACUAUAGCUUGACACUGAACAUUGAGCCUUGAUGUGUAGGAUAGGUGGGAGGCUUUGAAGCGUGGACGCCAGUCUGCGUGGAGCCAACCUUGAAAUACCACCCUUUAAUGUUUGAUGUUCUAACGUUGGCCCCUGACCGGGGUUGCGGACAGUGUCUGGUGGGUAGUUUGACUGGGGCGGUCUCCUCCCAAAGCGUAACGGAGGAGCACGAAGGUUAGCUAAUCCUGGUCGGACAUCAGGAGGUUAGUGCAAUGGCAUAAGCUAGCUUGACUGCGAGCGUGACGGCGCGAGCAGGUGCGAAAGCAGGUCAUAGUGAUCCGGUGGUUCUGAAUGGAAGGGCCAUCGCUCAACGGAUAAAAGGUACUCCGGGGAUAACAGGCUGAUACCGCCCAAGAGUUCAUAUCGACGGCGGUGUUUGGCACCUCGAUGUCGGCUCAUCACAUCCUGGGGCUGAAGUAGGUCCCAAGGGUAUGGCUGUUCGCCAUUUAAAGUGGUACGCGAGCUGGGUUUAGAACGUCGUGAGACAGUUCGGUCCCUAUCUGCCGUGGGCGCUGGAGAAUUGAGGGGGGCUGCUCCUAGUACGAGAGGACCGGAGUGGACGCAUCACUGGUGUUCGGGUUGUCAUGCCAAUGGCACUGCCCGGUAGCUAAAUGCGGAAGAGAUAAGUGCUGAAAGCAUCUAAGCACGAAACUUGCCCCGAGAUGAGUUCUCCCUGAGACUUUAAGUCUCCUGAAGGAACGUUAAAGACGAUGACGUUGAUAGGCCGGGUGUGUAAGCGCAGCGAUGCGUUGAGCUAACCGGUACUAAUGAACCGUGAGGCUUAACCUUACAACGCCGAAG
rnacentral:rRNA from 1 species